rnacentral:tRNA from 1 species
GCCGGUGUGGCGAAAUUGGUAGACGCAGCGGAUUCAAAAUCCGCCGGGCUAAUACCCCGUGUCGGUUCGAGUCCGACCACCGGCACCA